rnacentral:rRNA from 1 species
CAAUAGCGUAUAUUAAAGUUGUUGCAGUUAAAAAGCUCGUAGUUGGAUUUGUGGCGUACGGUGUGUUCCGGGCACUUGUUGUCUGAGUAACCUGCUGUUGCCAUCCUUGGGUGGAACCUGUGUGGCAUUAGGUUGUCGUGCAGGGGAUGCCCAUCAUUUACUGUGAAAAAAUUAGAGUGUUCAAAGCAGGCUUAUGCCGUUGAAUAUAUUAGCAUGGAAUAAUGAGAUAGGACUUUUUUGCUAUUUUGUUGGUUUGCGCAAAGAGGUAAUGAUUAAUAGGGACAGUUGGGGGUAUUCGUAUUCCAUUGUCAGAGGUGAAAUUCUUGGAUUUUUGGAAGACGAACUACUGCGAAAGCAUUUACCAAGGAUGUUUUCAUUAA